UUGAUAAUUCCUAUGCAUUGCUAUCCAGUGCUUACACAUAGACGGUGCAUUCUCUGGAAUUCACCCUGGGUCAGAGCCUUCUCACCUCCCAGCACAAGCCAGUAGCUUAAGCCUCAGUGUCCCAGCUUCGGUGCACUGGGCAGGAGAUGGGUCUCCCAAGACCACUCAGCCAUGUGGUUCCUUCAGCUCUCAGCACAGCCGAGUCCAGGCUGCAGGCUCUCCAUCACAAGCCAACUACAGAGUGACACAUGUUCUCUACACAUGCCGUGACUGAAUAUGUUGUGUUCUGAAAAUAUUUGGGAGUUAAUUUGUGUUUUGUGCCUAGUGCUUCAUGGACCGGUGCUCAUUGCAUCCUUACAGCCAUCUACAAGGGUGUCACCAUUAUUUGUAUUUUAUUAGACUUAGAGAGGUGAAGUGACUUGCUCAAAAUAAUACGGUUAGCAAAUGACUGAACCCCGACCCAACAGGGAGAAUGUGGGAAGAAAUCAACAAAGCUUAUUUAACAGGUAUCUGCCAAGGGUUGGAAAAAAUAAGAUUUAUUGUUGCUCCACUGAGCAGAACACAGCCCAUCAGAGGUUACUGCACCUUCAACGACAUGUGCUUUUGACUGACCCAUCAAAACACUGGUGGCAAGAGCACUAAAUAAGUUGCCUAUCAUACUUAAUCUUUCCAGGAUUCAAAGAGGAGUGUAGAGUGAAAUGACCUAUAAGACCCCUGAGCCUAAAAUAUAAUCUAAUGGACUCAGCUUUAAAGCGCUCAUUGAGAGGAUGGCCAAAAACCAGCCGCCACAGUGCGAAGCACGAUUCCUCCACCAUCCGCAGUCCACUCGCACAAAUACCCUCAGUGAAACACUUCUUUCUCUCCACCCACUUUUGAGUAGGAUGAAAUGGCACAUUCCAUUUUCAAAGUGGGCAGCUUGCACGUAUCAGCAGUGCCAGGAAUUUGGAAAACGAUAACGUGGAACCCACAGUAACUUGCUGGCUGAAUUUACUCACCCAGGUGACCCAGGUCGAUGAGGGCUUCAGAGCCACGGGGAUUUUAAAUGCCGCUUCAAAGCCAACAAGGAGCAGAACCAGUGCUGAUUCGUGUUUAUGAUAAUGACAUUUGAAAGGCUAAAAAUUACAAAGUUGUUUACAGAGAUGGACUUAGAAAAUAAUUGUAUCUAAUGUCUCAUAAACAUAAAAGAAAGUUAUUUUGUAGUAGAUGAUUGAAAAGAAAAAAUCUCCUUUAAAAAGGAAAUAAAUAUACUAGUUUCAGACAGAAACAACUUCAAAGGCAAUCAGAAAAUUCAGUGGAAUUUUAAAGAGGGAAUCUCACUCAAAGAAUUCUCUAAAAUUGCCUAAACUUAAAAGCAUUAUUUUUCUCGAGACAUUUAAUUUAGAUUGCAUACCAAACCCUGUAAUAAACCUCCUGCAAAGAAAUAAUAAUAGACCAUAGGCAUUAUAUAUGUUCACUGUUCACUGCGUGUAAAUACAAUGAUUGACCUUCCAUCAACAGACAAGAGGCAUAACUCCAUGGCAACAGAGAAAUAGAGGUCACAAUCAUAUUUUCCAAGGCAAUUUUUGGCCCUCGGGGGAUUCACUGUUAUACUUGGAGGCCAUGUCACCUGAGAGUCAAUGGGCAACGAUCAAAUUUCACCUUGAGCAGAUUCUUUUGUUUGCUUUUUAGUCACAAAUAGCUUGGCCCUAAGUGGUGGCUCCCAUUCUUGUAAGAUGCGUUUAUUCAUCGUGUAAUCACCAGUUCCCUGUAGUGGGGGCGUGGAUGGAGUGUCAGAGGCUCCUGCUGGUCUUUAGGGUGUCUGGCCUCCAGGAAUCCUAGAGGUAGUAUUUGGAGAGAUUUUUAAAAGCUUUGUUUCUGUGACCAGCAAAACCUGGAUUUGACACUGAGGUCAGCCCGUUUCAGCCAGUGACGUAACCUGUCUUUUUGCCCCAGUAAAUUGGGAACUACAGCACUCGAUGUUAGAGUUGUCGUGAAGAUUAAAGAAGGUGACGACUGGACAACUCCCAGCCCAAUACCUGAAACUGUACCAGCACCCAGUGAGCACUGCUAUUCCUGUGACUGCUGCACAUUUGCCUUAUCUCAGCAGUAUGCCUGUGUCACUUUUUUGGCACUCUUUUCUCAUGGGUACAUUCAGAGAAGAGGAAUGUUUGUUCACUGGUGAAGAGAACAUCCCGUGUACUAUCGUGUAGAAGUUGUAGUAGACGCUGUGGUCUUUCCAACAACAAACAAACUGCUGGGACAGGACCCAGGAGGUUCCGGAGGAUCAGGAGGUCCACCUGGGAGAAGAGCUGAUCGGCUAGUAGGAGAGCUGGAAAAGCAACAGACACCUACUUAGUCCCUUCCCUGGGGCCCGGCUCCAGUCUGAGCUGUCACGCCACAGCAAAGGCAUCACUUCAGGACAGCAAAGCCCCUGUCUCCCUCCCUUCCAGCUCCUCAGACUUCACCCUGGUAACACGUUUGUUUAAAAAACAUAUUUUUCCCCCUUGUAAAGAAUCUAGGAUACAAGGGGUCAGCCCAGCAGUUUAGGUAUCAAGAAGAAACUGCUCUCGGAGCUAAAGUAAGAAACAGUGCCUGUCUAUAGCGCAAAUAAAGAGUUGGAACAAGAUAAAAGGCAGUGAUCCUUCACCAGCCAAUCUCCAGGUGGAUCUCAGGAAUCCUGUGUGAUGUGUGACAUCAUCUGGGAAAGCCCCGCAGUUGCCAUGGAGACGCACCUCCCAGGCCUCGGGAAGCUGCCCCACCUCUCUGCCACCUUCUUCCAGACUGGUCAUGGCAGGCUGGCUCUGAUCUGGGUCCCAGACAGAGGGGAAUUGGUUUGCCUUUUUUCUUUUCUUUUCUUCUUUUUUUUCUUUUCUUUUCUUUGUAAACUGCAAUGACCGUGUGUGUGUGUGUGUUUGUGUGUGUGUGUCUGUGUAUGCAUAUAUAUAAAGAAAGAGAGAGAAAAAAAAACAGAGUGCCCCACGACGCAAGGUGCCCACCUUGACAAAUACACUGUGGGCAGACAAUAAACCCUUAUGAGGUUCUGGAGUGGCAGCAGCAAUGGCCUCCUGCCCUCCUGGCGGGCUGGAGCCUCCUCCUGGCAGGUGGGGUAGGGUUGAAACAUCAGAAAUGCCGAGAAAUGUCUCGGUGCAGCCUGAUUACAGAGACACUUGUGAUCCAUGAUUUCUGCUGCUCCACUGCUGAAAAAAAGAAAAAGGCCUGGAGUGCCUCAUCCGCUGUGGUUUCUCUCCCAUUUAAGUAAAAUUGGAAACUUUUUUAAAAAGAAAGCACAAUCAUGUAAUUAGUGCAGGCUCUCUUUUCUGGUUUUUUGAAAAGAGGCAUUUUCACACACACCUUAGUCCAUCUUAAACCCUUUCAACGUUCUGCAUGCUCUUCCUAAUUCCAGAGAGACAGAAUUUUUAUUUCCUUCGAUCGCAGGGAUACCUACAAUGGAAUUUACGUCUCAAUUAACAGUUUGACCAAGGGUUUACAAGUGGUUGAAUGGAGUACAAAUGAAGAAUUCGAAGAAACGCAAAGAGAGAAAGUGGACCGCCCAUAGACACCUGCUCUAUGCAAACAAUGGACUCCUUCCCUUUAUCUUAAGGGGUCUUACGCUACCUGUUUCUACGUCCUUUGCUGGUUCCCAUGACAGAAAUACACACGUUUCAGACAAGAUUAAAAUACAAAAUCCCAACCAUAGCCUCAUCUUUGCACACACACUCUCUCAUUUCCUGUUGGUACCAGCACUUUUCUAUUUCGGUCCUGGGUAUGGCUCACUAACCUACAGCAG
rnacentral:lncRNA from 1 species